AUACGUAGGUGGCAAGCGUUAUCCGGAAUUAUUGGGCGUAAAGAGGGAGCAGGCGGCAGCAAGGGUCUGUGGUGAAAGCCUGAAGCUUAACUUCAGUAAGCCAUAGAAACCAGGCAGCUAGAGUGCAGGAGAGGAUCGUGGAAUUCCAUGUGUAGCGGUGAAAUGCGUAGAUAUAUGGAGGAACACCAGUGGCGAAGGCGGCGAUCUGGCCUGCAACUGACGCUCAUUCCCGAAAGCGUGGGGAGCAAAUAGGAUUAGAUACCCUAGUAGUCCACGCCGUAAACGAUGAGUACUAAGUGUUGGAUGUCAAAGUUCAGUGCUGCAGUUAACGCAAUAAGUACUCCGCCUGAGUAGUGCGUUCGCAAGAAUGAAACUCAAAUGAAUUGACGGGG
rnacentral:rRNA from 1 species